rnacentral:rRNA from 1 species
UACGUAGGGACCGAGCGUUGUCCGGAAUCAUUGGGCGUAAAGAGCGUGUAGGCGGCCACUUAAGUCCUGCGUGAAAUCUUGCGGCUCAACCGCGAGCGGUCGUGGGAAACUGGGUGGCUAGAGUGCGGGAGAGGAGAGUGGAAUUCCUGGUGUAGCGGUGGAAUGCGCAGAUAUCAGGAAGAACACCCGUGGCGAAGGCGGCUCUCUGGAACGCAACUGACGCUGAGACGCGAAAGCGUGGGGAGCAAACAGG